rnacentral:rRNA from 1 species
UACGUAGGGGGCUAGCGUUAUCCGGAAUUACUGGGCGUAAAGAGCUCGUAGGCGGUUUGUUGCGUCGGCUGUGAAAUCCCGAGGCUCAACCUCGGGUCUGCAGUCGAUACGAGCAAACUAGAGUGUUGCAGGGGAGACUGGAAUUCCUGGUGUAGCGGUGAAAUGCGCAGAUAUCAGGAGGAACACCGGUGGCGAAGGCGGGUCUCUGGGCAACAACUGACGCUGAGGAGCGAAAGCGUGGGGAGCGAACAGG